AGUGAACGCUGGCGGUAGGCCUAACACAUGCAAGUCGAACGGCAGCACAGUAAUAGCUUGCUCUUACGGGUGGCGAGUGGCGGACGGGUGAGGAAUACAUCGGAAUCUACUUUUUCGUGGGGGAUAACGUAGGGAAACUUACGCUAUACCGCAUUCUACCUACGGGUGAAAGCAGGGGAUCUUCGGACCUUUCGCUAUUUAAUUAGCCGAUUUCGGAUUAGCUAGUUGGCGGGGUAAAGGCCCACCAAGGCGACGAUCCGUAGCUGGUCUGAGAGGAUGAUCAGCCACACUGGAACUGAGACACGGUCCAGACUCCUACGGGAGGCAGCAGUGGGGAAUAUUGGACAAUGGGCGCAAGCCUGAUCCAGCCAUACCGCGUGGGUGAAGAAGGCCUUCGGGUUGUAAAGCCCUUUUGUUGGGAAAGAAAAGCAGCAGGUUAAUACCCCGCUGUUCUGACGGUACCCAAAGAAUAAGCACCGGCUAACUUCGUG
rnacentral:rRNA from 1 species